rnacentral:rRNA from 1 species
UACGUAGGGUGCGAGCGUUAAUCGGAAUUACUGGGCGUAAAGCGUGCGCAGGCGGUGCUGUAAGACCGAUGUGAAAUCCCCGGGCUUAACCUGGGAACUGCAUUGGUGACUGCAGCGCUGGAGUAUGGCAGAGGGGGGUGGAAUUCCACGUGUAGCAGUGAAAUGCGUAGAGAUGUGGAGGAACACCGAUGGCGAAGGCAGCCCCCUGGGCCAAUACUGACGCUCAUGCACGAAAGCGUAGGUAGCGAAUGGG